rnacentral:rRNA from 1 species
GUCCACGCCGUAACGAUGAGCACUAGGUGUCGCGGUAUUGACCCUGCGGUGCCGACGCUAACGCAUUAAGUGCUCCGCCUGGGAAUACGGCCGCAAGGUUAACUCAAGGAAUUGACGGGCCCGCACAAGCGGUGGAGCAUGUGGUUCAAUUCGACGCAACGCGAAGAACCUUACCUGGGCUAGACAACGGAGGACCGCCUCAGAGAUGAGGUUUUCCCUUCGGGGACUUCCGGUUCAGGUGCUGCAUGGCUGUCGU